rnacentral:rRNA from 1 species
AACGCGAAGAACCUUACCAACCUUUGACAUGGGACGUAUGGUCUCCGGAGACGGGGAUCUUCAGUUCGGCUGGCGUCCACACAGGUGCUGCAUGGCUGUCGUCAGCUCGUGUCGUGAGAUGUUGGGUUAAGUCCCGCAACGAGCGCAACCCUCAUCUUCAGUUGCCAGCGGUUCGGCCGGGCACUCUGAAGAAACUGCCGGUGACAAGCCGGAGGAAGGUGGGGAUGACGUCAAGUCCUCAUGGCCCUUACAGGUUGGGCUACACACGUGCUACAAUGGCGGUGACAAUGGGUCGCAAACCUGCAAGGGUGAGCUAAUCUCAAAAAGCCGUCUCAGUUCGGAUUGCACUCUGCAACUCGAGUGCAUGAAGUCGGAAUCGCUAGUAAUCGUGGAUCAGCAUGCCACGGUGAAUACGUUCCCGGGCCUUGUACACACCGCACGA